rnacentral:rRNA from 1 species
UACGUAGGGUGCGAGCGUUAAUCGGAAUUACUGGGCGUAAAGCGUGCGCAGGCGGUUCGCUAAGACCGAUGUGAAAUCCCCGGGCUUAACCUGGGAACUGCAUUGGUGACUGGCGGGCUAGAGUAUGGCAGAGGGGGGUAGAAUUCCACGUGUAGCAGUGAAAUGCGUAGAGAUCCGGAGGAACACCGAAGGCGAAGGCAGUGUCCUGGCGAGUACCCUGACGCUGAGGUGCGAAAGCCAGGGGAGCGAACGGG